rnacentral:rRNA from 1 species
GACGAACGCUGGCGGCGUGCUUAACACAUGCAAGUCGAGCGGUAAGGCCCUUUCGGGGGUACACGAGCGGCGAACGGGUGAGUAACACGUGGGUGACCUGCCCUCAGCUCUGGGAUAAGCCUGGGAAACCGGGUCUAAUACCGGAUAUGACUCCAUGACGCAUGUUGUGGGGUGGAAAGCCUUGUGCGGCUGAGGAUGGGCCCGCGGCCUAUCAGCUUGUUGGUGGGGUGAUGGCCUACCAAGGCGACGACGGGUAGCCGGCCUGAGAGGGCGACCGGCCACACUGGGACUGAGACACGGCCCAGACUCCUACGGGAGGCAGCAGUGGGGAAUCCUGCGCAAUGGGCGAAAGCCUGACGCAGCGACGCCGCGUGAGGGAUGACGGCCU